AUUGAACGCUGGCGGCAGGCCUAACACAUGCAAGUCGAGCGGAUGAGGAAAGCUUGCUUUUCGAUUCAGCGGCGGACGGGUGAGUAAUGCCUAGGAAUCUGCCUGUUAGUGGGGGAUAACUCGGGGAAACUCGGGCUAAUACCGCAUACGUCCUACGGGAGAAAGUGGGGGAUCUUCGGACCUCACGCUAACAGAUGAGCCUAGGUCGGAUUAGCUAGUAGGUGAGGUAAUGGCUCACCUAGGCGACGAUCCGUAACUGGUCUGAGAGGAUGAUCAGUCACACUGGAACUAAGACACGGUCCAGACUCCUACGGGAGGCAGCAGUGGGGAAUAUUGGACAAUGGGCGAAAGCCUGAUCCAGCCAUGCCGCGUGUGUGAAGAAGGUCUUCGGAUUGUAAAGCACUUUAAGUUGGGAGGAAGGGUAUUCACCUAAUACGUGGGUACUUUGACGUUACCAACAGAAUAAGCACCGGCUAACUCUGUGCCAGCAGCAGCCGCCGUAA
rnacentral:rRNA from 1 species